GACGAACCGAGCGAACGUUGUUCGGAAUCACUGGGCUUAAAGGGCGCGUAGGCGGGCUGCCAAGUCUGGGGUGAAAUCCCGCGGCUCAACCGUGGAACUGCCUCAGAUACUGGCGGCCUCGAGGGAGGUAGGGGCGAGCGGAACUAAUGGUGGAGCGGUGAAAUGCGUUGAUAUCAUUAGGAACUCCGGUGGCGAAGGCGGCUCGCUGGACCUUUUCUGACGCUGAGGCGCGAAAGCUAGGGGAGCAAACGGGG
rnacentral:rRNA from 1 species